rnacentral:rRNA from 1 species
UUGAACGCUGGCGGCAGGCCUAACACAUGCAAGUCGAGCGGUAGAGAAAGUCUUGUCUUUUCUUGAGAGGCGGCGGACGGGUGAGUAUGCCUAGGAAUCUGCCUGGUAGUGGGGAUAACGUUCGGAAACGGACGCUAAUACCGCAUACGUCCUACGGGAGAAAGUGGGGGAUCUUCGGACCUCACGCUAUCAGAUGAGCCUAGGUCGGAUUAGCUAGUUGGUGAGGUAAUGGCUCACCAAGGCGACGAUCCGUAACUGGUCUGAGAGGAUGAUCAGUCACACUGGAACUGAGACACGGUCCAGACUCCUACGGGAGGCAGCAGUGGGGAAUAUUGGACAAUGGGCGCAAGCCUGAUCCAGCCAUGCCGCGUGUGUGAAGAAGGUCUUCGGAUUGUAAAGCACUUUAAGUUGGGAGGAAGGUCAGUAACCUAAUACGUUGCUGAUUUGACGUUACCGACAGAAUAAGCACCGGCUAACUACGUG